rnacentral:lncRNA from 10 species
GAGUAGCUGGGACUACAGGCACCCACCACCACACCCGGCUAAUUUUUGUAUUUUUAAUAGAGAAAGGGUUUCACCAUAUUGGCCAGGCUGGUCUCCAACUCCUGACCUUGUGAUCCGCCCGCCUCAGCCUCCCAAAGUGCUGGGAUUAUAGGCGUGAGCCACUGUGCCCAGCCCAAACCUUUUUUUAUCACCCCAAACAGAAACUCUGUACCCGUUAAUAACUCCCCAUUCCUCCCUCCCUCUAGUCCCUGGUAACCUGUAAUCUAUUUUUUGUCCUUAUGAAUUUGUCUAUUCUAAAUAUUUCAUAUAAGUGAAAUAAUAUUUAUCCUGUUUGUGUCAGACUUAUUUCACUUAGGAUAAUGUUUCGUGCUUCAUGCAUGUUGCAACAUGUGUCAAGACUUCAUUCCUUUUCAUGGCCCAAUUUCAUUAUUUUACAUGUGACUACUCAGUUGCCCCAGCACCACUUGUUGAAGACAGUAAGUUUUUUUUCAUAAUUGAUUUUUUCACAUUUACAAAUAACAUUACAAUAAAUAUCUUUUUCAACCUAUCCCGUAUUUUUCCCUAAGAAAAAUUCCUAUAAUUGCUAUCCCCAAAGAGAUGCACUUUUUGAAGGCUUUUGAUACACACUACCAAACUUCCUCAUUAAAGGACAAUAGGACUCCACCACAGUAAAUUCAAACACCACUUUCCCCACUCUCAACAGCCUUGUAUAUUAUUUAAAAUUUUAAAAAUUUCUGCUAAUCAAUGUGGCAUGGGUGUAUUCCAAAUCAAGUUGAAGGGUCCAGGUGCGGUGGCUCCCGCCUGUAAUUCCAGUACUUUGGGAGGCCAAGGCAGGCAGAUCACUUGAGGCCAGGAGUUUGAAACCAGCCUAGCUAACAUGGAGAAACCCUGUCUCUACUAAAAAUACAAAAGAAUAAAUGAGCAUGGUGGCAUGCGUCUGUAGUCCCACUCAGAAGACUGAAGCACAAGAAUCGCUUGAACUGGGAGGUGGAAGCUGCAGUGAACUGAAACCACACCACUGCACUCCAGCCUGGGUGACACAGCUAGACUCUGUUAAAAAAAAAAAAAAUUUGAAGUUUUAGCUGAACUUCCUUCUUCCUUCACAGCCCUACCAUGCUGGCCUCAGUACCAUCCUUUCCA